CACGGGGGGAGCAAGCGUUGUUCGGAAUCACUGGGCGUAAAGGGCGUGUAGGCGGUCAAGUAAGUGGGAUGUGAAAUCCCCCCGGCUUACCCGGGGACCGGCAUCCCAUACUGCUUGGCUUGAGUACGGGAGAGGAUGUGGGAAUUCCUGGUGUAGCGGUGAAAUGCGUAGAUAUCAGGAGGAACACCGGUGGCGAAGGCGCACAUCUGGCCCGAUACUGACGCUAAAGCGCGAAAGCUAGGGAGCAACAGGG
rnacentral:rRNA from 1 species